GCACGCUGCGUUCCUCAGUCCCCCAGGGCGAAUCCAAUAAAGAGCUAUAACACAGCCGAAACUGCUACCUUCUCUCUAUGCUUUUCCGCCCCGAAAAACUGAUGCGGGCCUGCCAAUCGAGUUGCCCCGAAUAGCAAGUAUCACUGCAUGUGUUUCCCUUCCAACAAUUUCACGUACUGUUAACUCUCUUUCCAAAGUGCUUUUCAUCUUUCCCUCACGGUACUUGUUCGCUAUCGGUCUCUCGCCAAUAUUUAGCUUUAGAUGGAAUUUACCACCCAAUUUGAGCUGCAUUCCCAAACAACUCGACUCUUCGAAAGUGUAUCACAAAGUAAUAGGCAUCCGCAUCGUGUACUGGGUUCUCACCACUAUGACGCUCUGUUCCAAGAGACUUGUAUGCGGUCUAUCACGGAAAACACUUCUCGAGAUUACAACUCGGACGUCGAAGACGCCAGAUUACAAAUUUGAGCUUUUCCCGCUUCGCUCGCCGCUACUAGGGGAA
rnacentral:rRNA from 1 species